UCAGGUCGGCGCAUGGUCAGGCAAAUCAUUGCUCUGAUGUCGGCGGUGAGGGCGUCGUAUAACCCGAACUAGCAUGCUGUCAGACGAAUUAUUGCAUUGGUGUCGGAGGUAUGGCCGAGAUCGGAGACUUAUCAUAGUUGACUAGACUCUGCUGGGCUGAUUUGCCGUGGAGAGCUGAGAGUCCGUAGAUGACAGGAGCCAUGCGCAUUUAUG
rnacentral:lncRNA from 1 species